rnacentral:lncRNA from 1 species
UAAACCUAUAAAAAUUAAUUUUUUUCCAACAAUACACCUAUUGCUGUUAUUUCAGCAGUUGACAUACUAGUAAAUUGCCAAGGCCAAAUAAUUAAAUGCCUGUAGAUGUUUUAGUGAUUGGAACCAAAUCUUCAUACUGUUUUCUCAUGAAGUAAUAGGAGUGAAUUUUUUGUUUGUUUUGGAACUUAGGGGCUUUUUUUACCUUAAGUCUCAUAUUUUCUUUUGCCUGCAUCCAAUUGCUUCUUUGAGUGUUUGCAUCUAUUUUAAUAUAUGAGUAAUAGUGUACUGUAUCAUCAACAUGUUCAACAUUUUUUUCAUUUAAACAAUAUAAGUAUAAUUCAUACGUAUAGAUCUUAAUUCUUUUUUUCCCUCACAAAAGUAUUUUAUAAGUAACUGGAAUUUUUCAUUAGAUCUUAUACAAAGCAGUAUUUUAUUAAAAAUUCAAAAGGGAAGACUUUUAUGUGCUCAUUUUUU